CCCUUAGAUGUUCUGGGCCGCACGCGCGCUACACUGAUGCAUUCAACAAGCCUAGCCUUGACCGAGAGGUCCGGGUAAUCUUUGAAACUGCAUCGUGAUGGGGCUAGAUUAUUGCAAUUAUUAAUCUUCAACGAGGAAUGCCUAGUAAGCGUGAUUCAUCAAAUCGCGUUGAUUACGUCCCUGCCCUUUGUACACACCGCCCGUCGCUCCUACCGAUUGAAUGGUCCGGUGAAAUCUUCGGAUUGCUGACCAAGAUCCAGCAAUGGAGCUUGGUUGCGAGAAGUUGAUUAAACCUUAUUAUUUAGAGGAAGGAGAAGUCGUAACA
rnacentral:rRNA from 1 species